GGGGAUUUAGCUCAGUGGUAGAGCACUUGCCUAGCAAGCACAAGGCCCUGGGUUCCGUCCCCAGCUCUG
rfam:Rattus norvegicus chromosome 12, whole genome shotgun sequence.